CAAAGGCCUGGUCCCAACUUUACUAUCGGCUUUUGCCCAAAUUAUACAUGCAAGUAUCCGCACCCCUGUGAGAAUGCCCUCAAUCCCCCGCCCGGGGACAAGGAGCGGGCAUCAGGCACAAAUUUUUGCCCAAGACGCCUUGCUUUCGCCACACCUCCAAAAGGUAAUCAGCAGUAAUAAACAUUAAGCCAUAAGUGAAAACUUGACUUAGUCAGGGCUAAGAGGGUCGGUAAAAUUCGUGCCAGCCACCGCGGUUAUACGAAAGACCCAAGUUGAUAAACACCGGCGUAAAGCGUGGUUAAGGAACAACACAAAAUUAAAGCCAAAGACCUCCUAGGCCGUUAUACGCACUACGGAGACAUGAAGCCCAAACACGAAAGUAACUUUAUUCUGCCCGACCCCACGAAAGCUAAGAAACAAACCGGGAUUAGAUACCCCAUUAUGCUUAGCCCUAAACUUAAAUGUCUCAAUUACAAACACAUCCGCCAGGGAACUACAAGCGCUAGCUUAAAACCCAAGGGACUUGACGGUAUCUCAAACCCGCCUAGAGGAGCCUGUUCUAGAACCGAUAAUCCACGUUAAACCUCACCACCCCUUGUCGAUACUGCCCGUAUCCCGCCUAUAUACCGCCGUCGCAAGCUCACCCUGUGAAGGGCCAGUAGUAAGCAGAAUGGGGCCAUACCCCAAAACGUCAGGUCGAGGUGUAGCUUAUGGGGUGGGAAGAAAUGGGCUACAUUUUCUAUGUUAGAAUAUACGAACGGCGCCAUGAAACUGGUGCUCAAAGGUGGAUUUAGUAGUAAAAAGAGAAUAGAGAGCUCUUUUGAAUCCGGCCCUGAGAUGCGUACACACCGCCCGUCACUCUCCCCGCAUCAAAAACUUAAAGUAAUUAACAACAAAUUAUAUAAUAAGGGGAGGCAAGUCGUAACACGGUAAGUGUACCGGAAGGUGCACUUGGAACAC
rnacentral:ncRNA from 1 species